rnacentral:rRNA from 1 species
GUGCCAGCAGCCGCGGUAAGACAGAGGUCUCGAGCGUUAGGCGGAAUCACUGGGCUUAAAGCGUGUGUAGGUGGAUGUCUAAGUACCUUGUGAAAUCCCACGGCUUAACCGUGGAAUUGCUUGGUAUACUGGAUGUCUUGAGCCACUUAGGGGCAACCGGAACAAAUGGUGGAGCGGUGAAAUGCGUAGAUAUCAUUUGGAACGCCAAUGGUGAAAACAGGUUGCUGGGAGUGUGCUGACACUGAGACACGAAAGCCAGGGGAGCAAACGGGAUUAGAAACCCUGGUAGUCC